UACGUAGGUGGCAAGCGUUGUCCGGAUUUAUUGGGUUUAAAGGGUGCGUAGGCGGCCUUAUAAGUCAGUGCUGAAAUAUCCCGGCUUAACCGGGAGGGUGGCAUUGAUACUGUAGGGCUUGAGUGUAGUCGAGGUAGGCGGAAUUGACGGUGUAGCGGUGAAAUGCUUAGAUAUCAGGAGGAACACCGGUGGCGAAGGCGGGUCUCUGGGCCGAUACUGACGCUGAGGAGCGAAAGCGUGGGGAGCGAACAGG
rnacentral:rRNA from 1 species